rnacentral:lncRNA from 1 species
GGAAAACGCUCUUCUGAGAGGAUCUGUGGAGGUCAACCCAGGAGAGAGAAGACAGGACUGAAGCACUGAAAGGGUCCUGCCGUUAAGGGCGCAGGAUUGUAUAGAAUAUAUAAUAGCAGUAGCAGCUCUGUUUACGGAGCAUUAACCUUACGUGGAGUUAUUUCCUGCAUUUCCUCCUUUCGUCUUUACAAGGUAGCCGUUUGGCGUCGUGAGGUAUGGAUGUUCCCAUCCCUAAUUUGCAAAAUAGGUAACUGAGGCUCAGGAGAGCUAGACUAGUUUGUGCACAGCCGAGAAGUGGUCAAGCUAGAAUGGGACCCCAGGUUUGUGCUCCCUACUCUCCACCGAUAACCUAUCAAAGGGCUUUGCAAGAGCUUUUGACUAAUCGUCUGUCAAUGGUUCUUCAUUCACGUAUUAAUUGCACAUCAGUAUGUGCCAAAUCUACUAGACAUUGGAGAAACAGUAGGAACAACACAUGGUACCGGCACAUGGAUCUUUCAGGAAAACGAAGUAGGUAAUAAACAGGAAAAAGCCCGAGUCUGAUGCUAAGAAGAACAUAAACAGGAUGCUGAGAGAUUGGGUCUCUCCACAUUGCCCCGGCUGCUCUCCAACCCCUGAGUUCAAGUGAUUCACCUCCCUUGGCCUCCCAAAGUACUGGGAUUACAGGCGUGAGCCACCGUGCCUGGCUGAGAAGAUGGAUUUAAGACAUAUUUUGGAGUAAAAUUUAAGUGUGGCUCUGUGCCUAUGCUCUCCCCAGCGGAAAGUGACCAGAAGAGGUGUGCAGUUUCCAGGCCUGGCCCAUACAGACCUCCAACAGGUGCUCCCCUGUGCUGUUACUCCUUCUGCCAACUGGAAGCAGAUGGUGACCAGGCUCUGGAGAAGGCAAGGCCUGAAGAUGGGAGAUUCCUAAGUGGAGGAGAACUGUGCCUUACUGACCUAAAUAUCCACUCAGUAUUGUUAUGUGAGAAUAAAUAAACUUGUGUUGA